CAGCAGCCGCGGUAAUACGGAGGAUGCAAGUGUUAUCCGGAAUCACUGGGCGUAAAGCGUCUGUAGGUGGUUUAAUAAGUCAACUGUUAAAUCUUGAGGCUCAACUUCAAAAUCGCAGUCGAAACUUUUAGACUAGAGUAUAGUAGGGGUAAAGGGAAUUUCCAGUGGAGCGGUGAAAUGCGUAGAUAUUGGAAAGAACACCGAUGGCGAAAGCACUUUACUGGGCUAUUACUAACACUCAGAGACGAAAGCUAGGGUAGCAAAUGGGAUUAGAUACCCCAGUAGUCCUAGCCGUAAACUAUGGAUACUAGAUGUUGAGCAGAUCGACCUGUGCAGUAUCAAAGCUAACGCGUUAAGUAUCCCGCCUGGGAAGUAUGCUCGCAAGAGUGAAACUCAAAGGAAUUGACGG
rnacentral:rRNA from 1 species